CGGAGAGUAGUUUAGUUAGAAUACCAGCUUUGGGAGUUGGUGGUAAAGGUUUGACUCCUUUCUCUCUGA
rnacentral:tRNA from 1 species